rnacentral:rRNA from 1 species
AGCUCCAAUAGCGUAUAUUGAAGUUGUUGUGGUUAAAAAGCUCGUAGUUGGAUUGCUGCUAAGGACGAUCGGUCCGCCCUCUGGGUGAGCAUUGGCUCGGCCUUGGCAUCUUCUUGGAGAACGCUACUGCGUUUGACUGUGUGGUGCGGCAUCAAGGACUUUUGUUUUCAGGAAAUUAAAGUGUUUCAAGCAGGCGCACGCCUUGAAUACAUUAGCAUGGAAUAAUAAGAUAGGACCUCGGUUUUAUUUUGUUGGUUUCUUGAGCUGAUGUAAUGAUUAAUAGGGAUAGUUUUUUGGGCAUUCGAAUUUAACUGUCAGAGGUGAAUGUCUUGGAUUUGUUACAGACGGACUACUGCGAAAACAUUUGUCAAUGAUGUUGUAA